rnacentral:tRNA from 1 species
GACCGAAUGGCGUAGUGGUUAGUGACCCUGACUACUGAUCCGAAGGUCCCGGGUUCGAUUCCCAGCUGGGGCA